UACGUAGGGGGCUAGCGUUGUCCGGAAUCAUUGGGCGUAAAGAGCGUGUAGGCGGUCCGGUAAGUCCGUUGUGAAAGUCAAGGGCUCAACCCUUGAAUGCCGGCGGAUACUGUCGGGCUAGAGUCCGGAAGAGGCAAGUGGAAUUCCCGGUGUAGCGGUGAAAUGCGCAGAUAUCGGGAGGAACACCUAUGGCGAAGGCGGCUCUCUGGACGGUGACUGACGCUGAGACGCGAAAGCGUGGGGAGCAAACAGG
rnacentral:rRNA from 1 species